AUGCUUACCUGGCGUGAUCACGAAGGUAGUUUUCCCAGGGUGAGGCUCAUCCAUUGCACUCCAGAUGUACUGAUCGCUAUGACUUUCCCCAAUGUGGGGAACACAAAUGCCUAAUUUGUAGUAGUCAACUCAACUGCCUAGUUUC
rnacentral:snRNA from 1 species